GAUGAACGCUGGCGGCGUGCCUAAUACAUGCAAGUCGAGCGAACAGAUGAGGAGCUUGCUCCUCUGACGUUAGCGGCGGACGGGUGAGUAACACGUGGAUAACCUACCUAUAAGACUGGGAUAACUUCGGGAAACCGGAGCUAAUACCGGAUAAUAUAUUGAACCGCAUGGUUCAAUAGUGAAAGACGGUUUUGCUGUCACUUAUAGAUGGAUCCGCGCCGCAUUAGCUAGUUGGUAAGGUAACGGCUUACCAAGGCAACGAUGCGUAGCCGACCUGAGAGGGUGAUCGGCCACACUGGAGCUGAGACACGGUCCAGACUCCUACGGGAGGCAGCAGUAGGGAAUCUGCCGCAGUGGGCGAAAGCCUGACGGAGCAACGCCGCGUGAGUGAUGAAGGUCUUCGGAUCGUAAAACUCUGUUAUUAGGGAAGAACAAAUGUGUGAGUAACUAUGCACGUCUUGACGGUACCUAAUGAGAAAGCCCCGGCUAACUACGUG
rnacentral:rRNA from 1 species